rnacentral:tRNA from 1 species
GCCUGGGUGGCUCAGUUGGUUGAGCGCAUCUGACUUCGAUUCAGGUCAUGAUCUCAUGGUUUGUGGGUUCAAGCCCCACAUCAGGCU